rnacentral:rRNA from 1 species
GCACUGAAUGAAUUAAUUAUUCUUUAUUUAUUUAUAAAUUUAUUGUAAGUACUUUUAAGUCCACCUUAUAGAAAGUUUUAAGUUUUCUAACUGAAAAAAAAAAUUACUGUAACUCGCCUUAUUUCUUAUUUAUUUGCUGCACUUUGAUUUGUAUUAAGCUUUAAAACAAGACUUUAAAUUCACCUUUAGGUGAAUUCACGACAACGGUAUACAAGCUUUUGUAAAUAAGUAUAAUAUUCUUGGUGACUAUCAAUUACAUGGUAAGUUCCCCUAAAUACUACAUUCAGCCGCCAUAAUAUUUAAGUUUGGGCUUGAUGAAAAACAUUAAUUCUUGUUUAAAAUAUAUUUAUCUCCUUAUAAUUGGGUAUCUAAUCCAGGUUUAAUUUUUGGAGGUUGUUAGGAUAUUAAUACAGUUGAUUAACAAAAUAAUAGUAUUUCACUACAUAUUAAAAUUUUGUGUAUUUAAUAUUUAAACAAUUACUAUAAAUUCAUCUAAUAGGUAUGACCGCGGUUGCUGGCACCUAAUAAACCUAGAUUAUAUAGUUAUCUAAAUUUAAAUUUCUUUAAUGGUUUAAAAUCUUUAACUGGAGAAAGUGUUCACAUUCCAUAUUAAGUUAGACUAUAAACUUAUAGCUCCAUCGUAUUAAAGUGGUAGUUCUAAGGGGGUUAUUUACCAUUUUAGA